GAUGAACGCUGGCGGCGUGCCUAAUACAUGCAAGUCGAGCGAAUGGAUUAAGAGCUUGCUCUUAUGAAGUUAGCGGCGGACGGGUGAGUAACACGUGGGUAACCUGCCCAUAAGACUGGGAUAACUCCGGGAAACCGGGGCUAAUACCGGAUAACAUUUUGAACCGCAUGGUUCGAAAUUGAAAGGCGGCUUCGGCUGUCACUUAUGGAUGGACCCGCGUCGCAUUAGCUAGUUGGUGAGGUAACGGCUCACCAAGGCAACGAUGCGUAGCCGACCUGAGAGGGUGCUCGGCCACACUGGGACUGCGACACGGCCCAGACUCCUACGGGAGGCAGCAGUAGGGAAUCUUCCGAAAUGGACGAAAGUCUGACGGAGCAACGCCGCGUGAGUGAUGAAGGCUUUCGGGUCGUAAAACUCUGUUGUUAGGGAAGAACAAGUGCUAGUUGAAUAAGCUGGCACCUUGACGGUACCUAACCAGAAAGCCACGGCUAACUACGUGCCAGCCGCCGCCGUAA
rnacentral:rRNA from 1 species